GAUGAACGCUGGCGGCGUGCCUAAUACAUGCAAGUCGAGCGAACGGACGAGAAGCUUGCUUCUCUGAUGUUAGCGGCGGACGGGUGAGUAACACGUGGAUAACCUACCUAUAAGACUGGGAUAACUUCGGGAAACCGGAUCUAAUACCGGAUAAUAUUUUGAACCGCAUUGUUCAAAAGUGAAAGACGGUCUUGCUUUCACUUAUAGAUGGAUCCGCGCUGCAUUAGCUAGUUGGUAAGGUAACGGCUUACCAAGGCAACGAUGCAUAGCCGACCUGAGAGGGUGAUCGGCCACACUGGAACUGAGAAACGGUCCAGACUCCUACGGGAGGAAGCAGUAGGGAAUCUUACGCAAUGGGCGAAAGCCUGACGGAGCAAAGCCGCGUGAGUGAUGAAGGUCUUCGGAUCGUAAAACUCUGUUAUUAGGGAAGAACAUAUGUGUAAGUAACUGUGCACAUCUUGACGGUACCUAAUCAGAAAGCCACGGCUAACUACGUG
rnacentral:rRNA from 1 species